GGGCUUGUGGUUUAGUGGUAUAAUACUCCCUUAGCACUGAACGAUGCUUGCACGUCGCCAAUGUCGUCUGAAGCCUGGGAGUGGUCCGGGGUUCGAUUCCCCGCGAGUCCA